UACGUAGGGGGGCAAGCGUUGUCCGGAAUUAUUGGGCGUAAAGAGCGCGUAGGCGGUCCGAUAAGUCGGCUGUGAAAGUCAGGGGCUCAACCCUUGAAAGCCGGCCGAUACUGUCGGACUAGAGUCCGGAAGAGGCAAGUGGAAUUCCCGGUGUAGCGGUGAAAUGCGCAGAUAUCGGGAGGAACACCAAUGGCGAAGGCAGCUUGCUGGGACGUACGUGACGCUGAGAAGCGAAAGCGUGGGGAGCGAACGAGGA
rnacentral:rRNA from 1 species